AAUAAAGCUUCAUAAAGCUUCACUAGGGUGGGAAGAAGAGGGAAGAAGGAGUGAGCCUGGAGAUCAGGGCACCGAUGGGAGAAAUUCUGAGUUUUUCCCUCUCCUCUCUUUAUAUAGUUUAUUAACCCUCAUUAUACAGCUCCCAAACAGCCCCUGGAGUCUCAUCUCAACUUCCUUAAUUAGGGAGUUAAGAGACUUUCUCCUUUUCUCUGUCCAAAUAGCUGUUAUGUUUAUUAUUGCAAAGCCAUACAAUUUUAAGAUGACCUGGUAUAAGGGUACCCCCCUACUUUUUCUACUGUGGAACAAACAACAUUUGGCUAAAAAUUCUCAAACCAAAUCAAUGUGUUUCAAGUCAAAAAGGGCACAGAAACCUGAUCUCACACAGAUAAGAUAAUUCAGGCUGGAAAGGACCUGAGGAUCUUGGAGCAGCACCAGCUCUGAGGCAGGUAACAGGACCUGAGGAGAGGCAGUGGAGCAAUGCCUGGGAUGUGAACAUUCCAUGAAUCCUCUCCAUCUGGAGGAACCAAACAUGUCUGCAGGGCUGAGCAGCUGUCAGCACUUUACCUGAGCAACGGUGAAGAACGCCAUGCCAGCCAGGAAAGGCACUAAGGAGAUGCCAAAGUACCAGAUCACGAGCCAGGAUGCAGCAUCCAGUACCAGGACGUGAAGGAAAACGAGGAAGAAGAAGAAGUAGUUUGGCCUCAGAAGUCCCAUCUUCUCAACAGUGCAGCGCAGCUCACGAAAAUCCUCCAGGAGGGAUUUCUGGGGCCACUGUGCCUCUUUCUCAGCCCACUCUUUGGCCAAGCACAGUGACAACCAGCACGUCCUCCUGCCCUGGCACUGGAAUCACCUUCCUGCUCUGUCCUUCUGGGUCUUACCGUGGCAUCUUGCCCAGCAUAGUGGCUGAUAACUCUGCUGCCUCCAGGGUGCUUCUUGGAAAACCUGCUGACAUCAUAGACCUUCCUGUCGAUGACCAGCCACUGCUCCUGGCUCUCCCCACGGCCAUCGUGCAUCCUGACCUCUUCCCAAGUGAAAGGCUGCGGGAAGGCCGGAAUGGGACUCGUCCCCUUCUCGCUGGAGCCCGUCUGAGGAGGCAUCUGUGCACUCAGAGCCGGGAUCCACCAGGCUGAGCCUUGCUCUUGUCCAGGCUGAGGGUGGACCAUCCCAUCCUGCCCGUUAUACAGUCUCACUCCAAGCCACUCCCUUGUGCUCCAAGGGCUGGUUGGCUCUCCUUGCCCAAACACACCCUUCCAAAGUUCCCUCCCCUUCCAGAUGCUUUACACACCCAUAAAUAAAAGCCCUGUUCCUUCUUGUACUUUCUGAGUUGCCUUUAGAAAGUCUGAUUACUCAUGAGAGUUGUGGACUGCUCUACUGAACACGAACAGGAAUAAACAGACAAAAUUAGGGUUAUCUGUUGUCUCUAAAUGGCCUCAUCACUGCCCAAAACCUUCAGGUUGUCCUUCAUCUUUGAAAUUUUCUGUGUUGACCCUGGCAUGGUAAAUUCAUGUGUCUUUCUUAACUAAAAUAAUCAAAAUGCUAUCAAAUCAGAGUAAAGAUGGUAAAGAUUCAGAGUAAAAAAAGAACACAAUUAGGAAAACAUCCUUUAUUUCCAGUUAAUUUGGCUUGUUCAUUGUAUACUUCGCAUAGAGCUGUGAAAACAGAGUUUCCUGUAUAUUCUUGACUCAUUCAAUCAUCUAAUUGUUCAAGUAAUUAAUUCAUAAGUCUAUAGCAUUAGAAUAUUUUGGAAUUAGGAAUAAUAAUAAUAAUAAUAAUAACAAUAAUAACUGUUAGCACCAAAUUUGGCUGUAGAUUCAGAGUUCCUAAAGCUAUGUUUAAAGGCAACGUUGACAUAAUUAACCUCACUUAAACAUUGCUCCUGAAGAGACAAAAUCUGAGCAUCUCUGAUGUUGAGAAGAUCUGCUAUGAGUACAGAGGUGAAGAGUUCUCAGCUGUAACAAAGAGCAGAGAGAAGAAGGCACUGCCAAGCUUCCUAUGCACCCACAUCAAUUCUGCCCAUGACCCAGAAAAAACUAAGCCCGCAUAUAGGAAAUACUGCCCUACUUGAGAUUUAGGAUUCUUUUUAUCCUGGUUGGAUUUUUUUAGUCCAAAACUAUGAGCCCUGAUUGCUUUUGAGGAACGUACAAGCAGCAGGAUGAUAUGGUACAAUCUGUUCCCACAGAUUUGAGUUAAAUCAAAAAUCAUGAGUUUUCCCCCUUUUUAUUUGCACUUAUGAAUUUAUUAUGUCUGUAACCCCAAAUAUUGCCUACAAUGAUGCCCAAUCCUUGCCUGAAAUCUGACCAGUUCCAGGCCUCAACUACCUCUUGUGACAGUGAGUUUCACAGACAAUUCACACACUGUGAUCCAGAGAAAGGAGGGAAUUGUGUGAGCUCCCAGUUCUGAGAAGGACUGAGAACACUCAGCUGAAGUUGCAGACCUCUGGCAGGACAGAAAGAUAAAGAAAGACAAAGACAAAGAAAGUUUGGAAAGCCAAAGGCACUUCAGCAGGAUGAGUUGUUUUCCCUGUCUCCCAAGCAGAUGGCAAGGAGGAGGCCUGGGCAAGAGCUGAUCGAAGCAGAGAUGAUCUGAUAUCCCUCUCAUGAGGUGAAAAGUACCAUUUGAUUUUCGUAAAAUAACUUUAUUUUCAAGAGUUUGUCCCUGAGUGACUCUGGAAUGGAGCUCACAGGAUAUUCAUGCUGUAAGAGACAAUGAGGCUUCUCAGUUUUUCACUCUGUGCCAGUCUCAGACUGCAAACACAGUGACAAAUAUGAAGUCUUGGUUUUUGUGUUCCCCAGUGAAUUAAUAACAGCCCAAAAGCAGUUGGAUAGAGACAGCUGAAAUUCCCCAGAGCAGACACCUGCCUUGCCCUUAGACCUGCAUGGAGCGAGCAGUUUUCUGACUGCCGCAGAAUCCUAACUUAUGCAAUUCUAAUUCUUUAAAUCAUGUAGCAUCUUGUGAAUUAAUAAGUCAAGCCCAAAACAGCUGUGUAGAAGUUCCUGGCAUUUGGCAAUGGUUGAACCACCCAAAGUAAAAGAGAAUGGGACCGUUGGUAUUCGUCAGAAGACAGUGAUAAAAGAAUGGGAGGAACAAUUUCUACUCUGCUGUCACAUUGCAUUUUGUAACUCUUUAUCUUGCUCUAAAUAAAAGUUGAGAGUGUCCACGCCAA